GGAACGGGCCGGAGAUGAUCGCUGCCUCCUUCGGGAGGGAGAGGAAAGUCCGGACACCACACGGCAGCAUGCCCGGUGAAAGCCGGGGCGCCCGGUCGUAAUGGCAGGGCGACGGAAAGUGUCGCAGAAAAGAUACCGCCCUUUCGAGCCUCCGGGCGAAGGAGGGUAAGGGUGAAAUGGCGAGGUAAGAGCUCACCGCCCCGAGGGUGACCGAGGGGGCAGGAAAAACCCCAUGCGGUGCAAGACAGAACAGGGUGAACGGGCCGCCGGUCCGGCCCCGCGGCUCCGGUCGCGGGAUAAACCCGGGUAUUAGUCGCACCCCGCUCCGGCGGGGAGGGCGCGGAUCUCCGGAGACGCGGCCUAGAGAAAUGAUCGUCCGCCCGGGUCGAACACGGCCCGGGUGAACAGAAUCCGGCUUACGGUGGCCCGUUCCAAGA
rnacentral:RNase_P_RNA from 1 species